UUUGAAACUGCGAAUGGCUCAUUAUAUCAGUUAUAGUUUAUUAGAAAUAYUUUACUACUUGGAUAACCGUAGUAAUUCUAGGGCUAAUACAUGAGUAAAACCUCAACUUCGGAAGAGGUGUGUUUAUUAGUAUGAAAACCAUAUAUCUUCGGAUAUAAUAGUGAGUAAUAAUAACCUUUCAUAUCGUAUGUCGUAAGAUAACGAUAGUUCUUUCAAGUUUCUGCCCUAUCAGCUUUCGAUGGUAGUAUAUGGGACUACCAUGGCAGUAACGGGUAACGAAGAAUUUGGGUUCGAUUUCGGAGAGGGAGCCUGAGAGAUGGCUACCACAUCCAAGGAAGGCAGCAGGCGCGUAAAUUACCCAAUCCUGACAUAGGGAGGUAGUGACAAUAAAUCACAAUGCGGAACUUUUARUUUUGCAAUUGGAUUGARAACAAUGUACAAAUGUUAUCGAUAAACAAUUGGAGGGCAAGUCUGGUGCCAGCAGCCGCGGU
rnacentral:rRNA from 1 species